rnacentral:rRNA from 1 species
GAGUUUGAUCCUGGCUCAGGACGAACGCUGGCGGCGUGCCUAAUACAUGCAAGUCGAGCGAGCUGAAUUCAAGGAUCCCUUCGGGGUGACUUGUUGGACGCGAGCGGCGGAUGGGUGAGUAACACGUGGGCAACCUGCCCUAAAGACUGGGAUACCACUUGGAAACAGGUGCUAAUACCGGAUAACAACAGAAGCUGCAUGGCUUUUGUUUGAAAGGCGGCUUUAAGCUGUCACUUUAGGAUGGGCCCGCGGUGCAUUAGCUAGUUGGUAGGGUAACGGCCUACCAAGGCAAUGAUGCAUAGCCGAGUUGAGAGACUGAUCGGCCACAUUGGGACUGAGACACGGCCCAAACUCCUACGGGAGGCAGCAGUAGGGAAUCUUCCACAAUGGACGCAAGUCUGAUGGAGCAACGCCGCGUGAGUGAAGAAGGUUUUCGGAUCGUAAAGCUCUGUUGUUGGUGAAGAAGGAUAGUGGCAGCAACUGGCCAUUAUUUGACGGUAAUCA